rnacentral:rRNA from 1 species
GAUGAACGCUGGCGGCGUGCCUAAUACAUGCAAGUCGAGCGAACGGACGAGAAGCUUGCUUCUCUGAUGUUAGCGGCGGACGGGUGAGUAACACGUGGAUAACCUACCUAUAAGACUGGGAUAACUUCGGGAAACCGGAGCUAAUACCGGAUAAUAUUUUGAACCGCAUGGUUCAAAAGUGAAAGACGGUCUUGCUGUCACUUAUAGAUGGAUCCGCGCUGCAUUAGCUAGUUGGUAAGGUAACGGCUUACCAAGGCAACGAUGCAUAGCCAACCUGAGAGGGUGAUCGGCCACACUGGAACUGGGACUCGGUCCAGAUUCCUACGGGAGGCAGCACUAGGGAAUCUUCCGCAUUGGGCGAAAGCCUGACGGAGCAAGGCCGCGUGAGUGAUGAAGGUCUUCGGAUCGUAAAACUCUGUUAUUAGGGAAGAACAUAUUUGUAAGUAACUGUGCACAUCUUGACGGUACCUAAUCAGAAAGCCACGGCUAACUACGUG